UACGUAGGGGGCAAGCGUUGUCCGGAAUUAUUGGGCGUAAAGCGCGUGUAGGCGGUCCGGUAAGUCGGUUGUGAAAGUCCAGGGCUCAACCCUGGGAUGCCGACCGAUACUGUCGGACUAGGGUUCGGAAGAGGCGAGUGGAAUUCCCGGUGUAGCGGUGAAAUGCGCAGAUAUCGGGAGGAACACCAAUGGCGAAGGCAGCUCGCUGGGACGUUACUGACGCUGAGACGCGAAAGCGUGGGGAGCAAACAGG
rnacentral:rRNA from 1 species